GACGAACGCUGGCGGCGUGCCUAACACAUGCAAGUCGAGCGGGAGACUUCGGUCUCCAGCGGCGGACGGGUGAGUAACACGUGGGUAACCUGCCUCAUAGAGGGGGAUAGCCUCCCGAAAGGGAGAUUAAUACCGCAUAACACUGCGGCUUCACAUGAAGCUGCAGUUAAAGGAGUAAUCCGCUAUGAGAUGGACCCGCGGCGCAUUAGCUAGUUGGUGAGGUAACGGCUCACCAAGGCCACGAUGCGUAGCCGACCUGAGAGGGUGAUCGGCCACAUUGGAACUGAGACACGGUCCAGACUCCUACGGGAGGCAGCAGUGGGGAAUAUUGCACAAUGGGGGAAACCCUGAUGCAGCAACGCCGCGUGAGUGAUGAAGGCCUUCGGGUUGUAAAGCUCUGUCUUUUGGGACGAUUAUGACGGUACCAAAGGAGGAAGCCACGGCUAACUACGUGCCAGCCGCCGCGGUAAAAC
rnacentral:rRNA from 1 species